AAAGUACUCCCCCGUCCCAAAAUUCUUGUCUUAGCUUUGUCUAGAUACGGAUGUAUCAAGUCACAUUUUAGUAUUAGAUACAUCCGUAUCUAGACAAAUCUAAGACAAGAAAUUUGGGACAGAGGGAGUAGUUG
rfam:Triticum aestivum genome assembly, contig: Triticum_aestivum_CS42_TGACv1_scaffold_393607_5AS